AACGAACGCUGGCGGCAGGCUUAACACAUGCAAGUCGAACGCCCCGCAAGGGGAGUGGCAGACGGGUGAGUAACGCGUGGGAAUCUACCCAUCUCUGCGUAAUAGCUCCGGGAAACGGGAAUUAAUACCGCAUACACCCUACAGGGGAAAGAUUUAUCGGGGAUGGAUGAGCCCGCGUUGGAUUAGCUAGUUGGUGGGGUAAAGGCCUACCAAGGCGACGAUCCAUAGCUGGUCUGAGAGGAUGAUCAGCCACAUUGGGACUGAGACACGGCCCAAACUCCUGCGGGUGGCAGCAGUGGGGAACAUUGGACAAUGGGCGCAAGCCUGAUCCAGCCAUGCCGCGUGAGUGAUGAAGGCCUUAGGGUUGUAAAGCUCUUUCACCGGUGAAGAUAAUGACGGUAACCGGAGAAGAAGCCCCGGCUAACUUCGUGCCAGCAGCCGCGGUAA
rnacentral:rRNA from 1 species